GAUGAACGCUGGCGGCGUGCCUAACACAUGCAAGUCGAACGGACUCAUAUUGAAACCUAGUGAUUUAUGAGUUAGUGGCGGACGGGUGAGUAACGCGUGGAAAACCUGCCGUAUACCGGGGGAUAACACUUAGAAAUAGGUGCUAAUACCGCAUAAGCGCACAGCUUCGCAUGAAGCAGUGUGAAAAACUCCGGUGGUAUACGAUGGUUCCGCGUCUGAUUAGCUAGUUGGCGGGGUAACGGCCCACCAAGGCAGCGAUCAGUAGCCGGCCUGAGAGGGUGAACGGCCACACUGGUACUGAGACACGGACCAG
rnacentral:rRNA from 1 species